UGCGCUAAGUCUAGUAUUACCUUAGCGCACUUCUGUCGCAUGUCGCA
rnacentral:sRNA from 1 species